rnacentral:lncRNA from 1 species
AAAUUCUAUCAUCUAUAAACCUAUAUGAAGCCACAAUACUUUUUGCUACGUGGCAUGUUACCCUUCAUUCUCAUAACCCAACUUUAAAUCAAACAACCUUCUCCUCUUCUUAACGCCCAUCCCUUCACCUCCCCACUCCUCUAAUUACAUGAAAGGUGAAACAUUUAAUUACAUGCAACUUUAAAUCUAACUUUAAAUCAAACCACAUUCUCCUCUUCUCAGCACCCAACCCUUCACCUCCCCACUCUUCUAAUUACAUGUAAGGUGCAACAUUUAAUUACAUGCACCAUAUUAAUAUUCUAUCAAUCAGUGGGCUUUAUAACUUUAAUCCACUCCCCUUCUCCAUUAAUCUCUCACCCCCUCUCUUUUGUAACUCUUUUACAUGCACCAUAAAAAAAUAUUUAUUAUCGUCUAAUCUCCCACUCCACACUCAUCUCCCUCUUUCUCUCAUUGUGUUAACAAAGAUGAUGAGGAAGAAGAAGAAGAAGAGCCUGCAAUGUACCGGAUUCUUAAUAUAAGAGUAAGUGUAAAUAAAAAUAGCAUAAGAUACUAUUUUUAUUGGACUUAAAGAAGUAAAAUAUAAGUCGAAAAUGACUUGUGCUGAAAUUGGAGUGAAAAUAGAAGAUUUAGAAUUUUCUAUAAGAAACGGAGCUAAUCUUUUAGCAGAAAAUUCACAGUGUCGGAAAAUUAUGAAAAUUGGAGAAUAUGUCGAAAUUUUUUUUAUUAGGCGAGGUUUAAAGUUUCGUGUCAUUCCGACACCCGGAAGGUGGGAAAUAAAAUCUCACUGCUAUGUGCUAGAGAUUUUAGUCGGUAGAGCUUUCGGUGACCAAAAAUGGUUGAAACUGAGAAGUUAAGAUUUCGUUCUUCUUGUUAAGUUAAACUGAGUCUGACAAUCAAAUUUGAGCGCAAACGGACAUUCAGAAGGUCCCCGGCGAAAAACUUCAGUUUCUGAACUGCUAAACUGAAAUUGUGUUAAUGUUGAG